rnacentral:lncRNA from 1 species
GCUUAUGUCCCCCCUAUGUCUGUUAGUUAUGGUAGUUACUGUAUGAUAUUAUUACAUGCGAUUGUAUUUAUGUUUCGUAUGUCUAGAUAAUUAUUUACUCUAUUUCUGCUGGAGUUACUAAUGCUCUAUUGUUUUUGUUUUUGUUUUUUGUCUUUGUUUUUGUUUUACUGUUGUUUUUCCUUUUAUCCUAUGAGCCGGGGGUCGAUUGGAAACAGCCUCUCUGCCCUUUCGGGUAGGGGUAAGGCUUGUCUACAUAUUACCCUCC